UCCCCCUCCCCCAAACAUGGCCCAGAGCCCGCCCAUCAGUGCUGGGGUUUUAGUAGCUCUGGUCCCUUCCCAUGCUGCGUGACUGACACCUUGAUCAGUGAGACACAGAUGGGGGUGUGCAUAGUCUGGUGUGUAGCCAUGUGUCUCUUGGGAGCAAGCCAAGCAGAUGCUGAAAUAACUCAAACACCAAGUCUGGUGCUGGAGAGAGGACACACUGCCUAUCUGAGAUGUCAACAGUCCUAUGGGCACAACAACAUGUUCUGGUACCGACAGGAUCCAGGACACACAGACGCUAAAAUCACCCAAACACCAAGCCUGGUACUGAAGAGAGGACAGACAGCCCAGCUGACAUGCAGACAAACUGAUGGUCAUGAUAAUAUGUACUGGUAUCAGCAACAGCAGGGGAAGGGGCUGCAGCUGAUCUAUUACUCACUUACUGUAAAUAACAAGGCGAAAGGUGAUAUUCAAGAUGGAUUCACAGCCUCCCGGCCACAGAUCGAAGUCUUUGACUUGAACAUCACCUCUGUGAAGAUUGAGCAUUCAGCCGUGUAUUUCUGUGCCAGCAGUUUAGACACAGUGCUUCAGAGUCACCUCCACCACCUACAAAAACCUCCCUCCUUCCCCCCACACUCACUCAGAGAGAGAGUAGCUCCUCCCAUUUCCACUUAAGAUGUAGAUCAUCAGGCUGUUCUCAUGCAGACAGAAACAGCACAUUAUGCAGAGAAAUACCAGCAUGGUGCUGCUGGGGGAGAAAUGAACAAAGGCAGAGCAGCUCCUUUGACCAUGGGUUGUUUUCUUGUGACAACCUCAUAACAUAUAGCCAUCUGCCAUUCAUUUAACUCAUUCCUGGUUCAAGAUGUUAUCAUUUCAGUCCCGUGGUUCACAUCAAUCAAAUGCAGACAUAA